UACGUAGGGUGCGAGCGUUGUCCGGAAUUAUUGGGCGUAAAGGGCUCGUAGGCGGUUUGUCGCGUCGGGAGUGAAAUCCACUGGCUUAACUGGUGGCUUGCUUUCGAUACGGGCAGACUGGAGGUAUGCAGGGGAGAACGGAAUUCCUGGUGUAGCGGUGAAAUGCGCAGAUAUCAGGAGGAACACCGGUGGCGAAGGCGGUUCUCUGGGCGAUGUCCUGACGCUGAGGAGCGAAAGCCAGGGGAGCAAACGGG
rnacentral:rRNA from 1 species